GGCUGGAGUGAAAACAGUGAGUUAUCUUAAUUGAUUGUUCACGGUCAGUUACAGAUUGAAUUCCUUUUUCUGCUCUUUCCCCUACUGAACUUGACUAGUCCAAA
ensembl:misc_RNA Y_RNA Y RNA